rnacentral:rRNA from 1 species
AACGAACGCUGGCGGCAGGCUUAACACAUGCAAGUCGAACGCACCGCAAGGUGAGUGGCAGACGGGUGAGUAACACGUGGGGAUCUGCCCAAUGGUACGGAAUAGCUCCGGGAAACUGGAAUUAAUACCGUAUGAGCCCGCAAGGGGAAAGAUUUAUCGCCAUUGGAUGAACCCGCGUCGGAUUAGCUAGUUGGUGUGGUAAAGGCGCACCAAGGCGACGAUCCGUAGCUGGUCUGAGAGGAUGAUCAGCCACACUGGGACUGAGACACGGCCCAGACUCCUACGGGAGGCAGCAGUGGGGAAUAUUGGACAAUGGGCGCAAGCCUGAUCCAGCCAUGCCGCGUGAGUGAUGAAGGCCUUAGGGUUGUAAAGCUCUUUCGCCGACGAAGAUAAUGACGGUAGUCGGAGAAGAAGCCCCGGCUAACUUCGUGCCAGCCGCCGCAGUAACAC